rnacentral:rRNA from 1 species
GCGAUCAUACUGGCACUAAUGCACCGGAUCCCAUCAGAACUCCGAAGUUAAGCGUGCUUGGGCGAGAGCUGUACUAGGAUGGGUGACCCCCUGGGAAGUCCUCGUGUUGCACCU